AUACUUAACCUGGUAGAGGAGGUGCCAUGAACAUGAAGGUGAUUUUUCCAGUGCAAGGCUUAUCCAUUGCUCUUUGCUGACUCCUAAGAUUUCCCCAAAUGCGAGAAACUUGACUGCAUAAUUUGUGAUCGUGGAGGACUGAGAUUGUGCUCUCCCCUG